rnacentral:rRNA from 1 species
CUGAAAGCCUGGUGCUUGCACCGGGUGGAUGAGUGGCGAACGGGUGAGUAACACGUGAGUAACCUGCCCCUGACUUCGGGAUAAGCCCGGGAAACUGGGUCUAAUACCGGAUACGACUGCCGGACGCAUGUCUGGUGGUGGAAAGUUUUUUCGGUUGGGGAUGGGCUCGCGGCCUAUCAGUUUGUUGGUGAGGUAAUGGCUCACCAAGACGACGACGGGUAGCCGGCCUGAGAGGGCGACCGGCCACACUGGGACUGAGACACGGCCCAGACUCCUACGGGAGGCAGCAGUGGGGAAUAUUGCACAAUGGGGGAAACCCUGAUGCAGCGACGCAGCGUGCGGGAUGACGGCCUUCGGGUUGUAAACCGCUUUCAGCAGGGAAGAAGCGCAAGUGACGGUACCUGCAGAAGAAGUACCGGCUAACUACGUGCCAGCAGCCGCGGUAAUACGUAGGGUACGAGCGUUGUCCGGAAUUAUUGGGCGUAAAGAGCUCGUAGGUGGUUGGUCACGUCUGCUGUGGAAACGCAACGCUUAACGUUGCGCGUGCAGUGGGUACGGGCUGACUAGAGUGCAGUAGGGGAGUCUGGAAUUCCUGGUGUAGCGGUGAAAUGCGCAGAUAUCAGGAGGAACACCGGUGGCGAAGGCGGGACUCUGGGCUGUAACUGACACUGAGGAGCGAAAGCAUGGGGAGCGAACAGGAUUAGAUACCCUGGUAGUCCAUGCCGUAAACGUUGGGCACUAGGUGUGGGGGGCAUUCCACGUUCUCCGCGCCGUAGCUAACGCAUUAAGUGCCCCGCCUGGGGAGUACGGUCGCAAGGCUAAAACUCAAAGGAAUUGACGGGGGCCCGCACAAGCGGCGGAGCAUGCGGAUUAAUUCGAUGCAACGCGAAGAACCUUACCAAGGCUUGACAUACACCGGACCGUCCUGGAAACAGGUCCUCUUCUUUGAAGCUGGUGUACAGGUGGUGCAUGGUUGUCGUCAGCUCGUGUCGUGAGAUGUUUGGGUUAAGUCCCGCAACGAGCGCAACCCUCGUUCUAUGUUGCCAGCAUGUGGAUGGUGGGAACUCAUAGGAGACUGCCGGGGUCAAUUCGGAGGAAAGGUUGGGGAUGACGUCAAAUCAUCAUGCCCUU